rnacentral:lncRNA from 1 species
GAACAGCCGGCUCGGCGCCCGAUUCGUCACCAUUCUCGCCAUUUUCGAAGGCUCUGCUAUCGGCGCUGGUUUGGAAUCCGUUGGGCCACGUAUUGUACUCCCGCUGCAGAUGGUGACCUGUGGAACCCAGAGGAGUACCUUCUUGUUGAUCGCCACGUGUUGGGAGCGGCUAGAGAACGUCACUACAGUAUUCUGCAUGUUAUUCACCAGUUAUUUUUCCUUUCACGUCUGUUAUGCUGAAAGAUUGUAGUCUACUUUGGAAUUCGUUCAAAGGGCACUUUUGGUAUUAACCCAGACCAUGGAAGCAAGGCUGAGAAA